GACGAACGCUGGCGGCGUGGAUUAGGCAUGCAAGUCGAACGGUAUCAUCCUUUCGGGGGUGAGAGAGUGGCGAACUGGUGAGUAACACGUAGGUUAUCUACCCUCCAAGACGGGGACGAACCCAGGGAAACUUGGGCUAAUACCGGAUGUGAGCAACUUUUAGUUGUUUGAAAGGUGGCGUAAGCUGUCGCUUGGGGAUGAGCCUGCGUCCUAUUAGUUAGUUGGUGAGGUAACGGCUCACCUAGGCAAUGAUAGGUAGGCGGCCUUAACGGGUGGUCGCCCACACUGGGAUUGAGAUACGGCCCAGACUCCUACGGGAGGCAGCAGUCGAGAAUAGUCUACAAUGGUCGGAAGACUGAUAGUGCGACGCCGCGUGAACGAUGAAUCCCUUCGGGUGUAAAGUUCUUUUAUAUGUGAGCAGUGCUUCUUAUAUUAACAGUAUGGGGAGAGAGAUAUUAGCAUAUGAAUAAGCAACGGCUAACUCCGUGCCAGCAGCGCGGUAA
rnacentral:rRNA from 1 species